rnacentral:tRNA from 1 species
GCAUUGGUGGUUCAGUGGUAGAAUCCUCGCCUGCCACGCGGGGGGCCCGGGUUCGAUUCCCAGCCAAUGCA